GAAAGAGACGCACGCGGCUCCUCCUUUCUUCCCGCCCCUCCGUGUCCCAGCACCGUGGGCUGGCCGUUGGCUGAAUGUGCAGCCCGAGGGCAGGAGAAGGAUGGAGAUGGACGUGAGCAGGCCAUGGCGCCAAUGGGCGUUACGGAGCGUUUUCAGUGUUUAUCUGUACACUUCAGUUCCACUUAGUUUUGCUCAUUUAAGAUAGAUAUAUAAUUCUCUGAUGUCCCAGAGGCAUCAUGGACCGUGUUUCCCUUAACUGCGAAGCACUUCAUUCGUUGGCUUAACUGCUUCCCUAUUGUUUCAUGUGUGGCACCUUCUCCUGUUACGGCUUCUACAAACAAAACUGAAGGUAGCACCUUUAUAUACAGUUAUUUUAAUUUUCUUUUAAAUUAUGUUUUUCAGCUCAAAUCUCCCAGGAUAGAUCAGUGUAUAUCAGCAAUUUAAGUAUAUAUUUAUAGGGAAGAAACUUCAGUGCAGUAGAAAGAGCCCUGCUUGCUGUUGGAGAGUACUCCUAAGCUUCAUUUGCCUUACCUGUGAAGAGAGCGUCACUCCUGGGCUGCCUUCCCACCAGCCGCUGGGAAGAUCAAGUAUUUGUUUCAGGACCUUCAGCUUCUGGGAAAGAGGCACAGUAAUGAGGCAGACGCUCUAUUCCAGGGAGGUUCCGGGAUCCACGGGAGCGUGUUGGGGGCAUCCGACCUGCACCCUGGGACAGUCAGGGUGUCUGUAUGUCCCUGAUGGUCCCAAGAGGCGCUGGCAACCUCUUGCAAGGCUGAGGCUGGGGUCUCUGAGAUGCAGUGAUUUCUCGUCCUUUGGGCACCACCUGGUCACCACCAGCUGUUGGAUGGUAGGUGACGGUGUGGGUAGGUGGUUCAAGUUGGCUUGGUGGUUUGAAGGUAUUUCCAAGUCCCUGGGGUUCUCCAGAACACCUUCCUCCUCAGCCACACCAGACACCAUUUAAAAUCCUCAUCCCUAGGGAAAUACCCUCUCUUUGGCCUCAGCUCCCUGAUCCAGCCUGCCCAGCCUCUUGCUCUCCCAACAAGAGGAUCACCUGUGUGCCUUCCCAAAGAUAAAGUUCCCAGAGAUAAAGGUGACCUCUCACAAUGACAUAGGCCCACUGUAUGCACUUUCUCCCUUAUCGUUGUUGUUAAAUAUUACUUUUUCCCUCUGUGGCUAUAGUUUAGCCCAUCUGUCCACAUCCCUCACCUCUGGGCAACUUGCUUCUGUGCCUUGGUUUCUUCAUCUGUAAAAUGGGCAAAUCAUAGUUUGCUUCCUAGGGUUGCUGCAAGAAUUAAAUGAUCAUAAAACUUUUAGAGUUGAACCUA